GACGAACGCUGGCGGCGUGCUUAACACAUGCAAGUCGAGCGGUAAGGCCCUUCGGGUACGACGAGCGGCGAACGGGUGAGUAACACGUGGGUGACCUGCCUCUAGCUCUGGGAUAAGCCUGGGAAACUGGGUCUAAUACCGGAUAUGACUCCACGGCGCAUGUUGUGGGGUGGAAAGCCUUGUGUGGCUAGAGAUGGGCCCGCGG
rnacentral:rRNA from 1 species